rnacentral:ncRNA from 1 species
UCUUAUCAAGAGAGGUGGAGGGAAAGGGCCCUGUGAAACCCGGCAACCUGUGAUAUAUCACAAAGGUGCCAAUUCCUGUGGAAUAUAAUUCUACAAGAUAAGA